CCUGGCCCAGCCUGAGGCCGUUCCCUCUCCUCCUGUCCCUGUUCCCUGGCAGCAGAGCCCGACCCCCCCGGCUGCCCCCUCCUGUCAGGGACUUGUGCAGAGCCACAAGGUCCCCCCUGAGCCUCCUUUGCUCCAGCCUGAGCCCCUUUCCCAGCUCCCUCAGCCGCUCCUGGGGCUCCAGCCCCUUCCCAGCUCCCUUCCCUGCCCUGGACACGCUCCAGCCCCUCCAGGUUUCUCCUGAAGACACUGAAGAAACAUCUUCAUUAAAUCCUACCUUUAUUUUAAAUUUAUUUUCCUUCCCUGUUGCUUCUGAGCACAGAAACCCAAGCCAGCAUCUUCCCCGAGCCAGUAAUUCCAAAGGCUCAGCCAGGGAGACAGGUAACAGGAUUCCCUCCCUUUGUGCUCCCGCGCUAAAAACUCCCCUUGCCCUGGAUGUGGGCUCUUCCCAGCUUUCCAAACCUCGUCGCAUGGGGAGAAAAAGCAAGCGGAGAGAAGGAGAGGAUUCGUGAGCAGCAGUGCAGCCUAACGGCCACCACAGCGCACACCCUGGGAAGCUGGAGCCACCCGGCUGCGGGAAUGACCGCUGGGAACCUGCACAGGGGUCCCUGGGGGCACCUGGGGAGUUCCUGGGGGGCACCUGCAAGACGCUCCUGGCUCAGGAAUUCCUCAGCAUUUAGCCCAAGCCAGGCACAGCGAAUCCCGGGCCAGGAAGCCCUGCCCGAGCCAGGACAGCCCCAGCGGCUCCAGAGCCUGGGCACAAAGCUGCCAGGAAUGCACCACAAAGACCCCAGUGCCCUGUCCUGUCCCCCAGUGCCCUGUCCCGUCCCCCAGUGCCUUGUCCUGCCCCCCAGUGCCCAUCCUCCCUGUCCUGAGCUGUCCCCGCAGUGCCCUGUCCCAUUCCCACAUCCCGCUGUUCCCAUGCCAGGCAGCUCCGAUGAGGAUCUGCCAUGCUUGCCCAGCAGCUGUCCCGGGUCCGUCCCCUCCAGUGCUUCCCAGUUUGCGGUGACAGAGCCGUGCCCCAGUGGCAACCGGAGCUGCCCGGAGACGCCAGCGGGGGCUGAAGAGAAAUUCCAAGCACGAGGAAAACUCGAGCCAUCUCCGUGUUCCGCCGGCUGUGUCCCAGCCUGGCCAGGGAAGCCGAACUGGAGAAGGGCAGCGCUGCCUGAGCUUCCCCUGGGAAGCAGCGGGAGAUUUGGGGCGGUGGCUCGGGACAGGCAUGACCCGAAUUGCAUAGCCCUCGAGAGGAAACCUGGGACUGAGCCACAGCGAGCCCUGGGAGGUUUAGGGAGGUCUGAGAAGGUCGGGGAGGUUUGGGAAGGGCUGGGGAGCUCAGGGGAGCUCAGGGCAGGGCUGGGAAGGUCUGGGAAGGUCUGGGGAGCUCAGGGGAGCUCAGGGCAGGGCUGGGGAGCUCAGGGGAGCUCAGGGCAGGGCUGGGGAGCUCAGGGGAGCUCAGGGCAGGGCCUGUCUCUUAUACACAUCUAG
rnacentral:lncRNA from 13 species